rnacentral:tRNA from 1 species
GCGCAUUCGCUCCCGGACCUGAGGGUCGGAGAGCUCGAACCUCUCGAGCGAAGAGGUUGACAGUUCGGCGCCGUCAAUGCGCU